rnacentral:rRNA from 1 species
GAUGAACGCUGGCGGCGUGCCUAAUACAUGCAAGUCGAGCGAACAGAUGAGGAGCUUGCUCCUCUGAUGUUAGCGGCGGACGGGUGAGUAACACGUGGAUAACCUACCUAUAAGACUGGGAUAACUUCGGGAAACCGGAGCUAAUACCGGAUAAUAUUUUGAACCGCAUGGUUCAAUAGUGAAAGACGGUUUUGCUGUCACUUAUAGAUGGAUCCGCGCCGCAUUAGCUAGUUGGUAAGGUAACGGCUUACCAAGGCAACGAUGCGUAGCCGACCUGAGAGGGUGAUCGGCCACACUGGAACUGAGACACGGUCCAGACUCCUACGGGAGGCAGCAGUAGGGAAUCUUCCGCAAUGGGCGAAAGCCUGACGGAGCAACGCCGCGUGAGUGAUGAAGGUCUUCGGAUCGUAAAACUCUGUUAUUAGGGAAGAACAAAUGUGUAAGUAACUAUGCACGUCUUGACGGUACCUAAUCAGAAAGCCACGGCUAACUACGUG